AAGGAACACAGUGUGUGGAACCUCCCCGUGCAAAAAGAUCCCGUACUUGUGCUAAACAUCCGCCUGUACAUUGUCUCUGUCCUUAUGCUGAUGUUCGUGGGUGUGGUGCUCACAAUAAUUAUUGUGGAAACUGCCAGACACCGAGAAGGGUAAUUUCUUAAGUUUUAUCCCUGAAAUUGAAUCUUUUUCUAUUUUUACAAUGAAUUUUAGUUUUUAAGACUGCCUUUUAAUGUGUAAAUUAUUUUUUUUUUUUUUACUAUUCAUUUUACAUUGUGUUAAAUUAAGUUUUAAGAGUUUCAUAAUAAAAAACAAGUUUAACUUUCA